UACGAAGGGGGCUAGCGUUGCUCGGAAUCACUGGGCGUAAAGGGUGCGUAGGCGGGUCUUUUAAGUCAGGGGUGAAAUCCUGGAGCUCAACUCCAGAACUGCCCUUGAUACUGAGGAUCUUGAGUUCGGGAGAGGUGAGUGGAACUGCGAGUGUAGAGGUGAAAUUCGUAGAUAUUCGCAAGAACACCAGUGGCGAAGGCGGCUCACUGGCCCGAUACUGACUGCUGAGGCACGAAAGCGUGGGGAGCAAACAGG
rnacentral:rRNA from 1 species